GGCUUAAUACAUGCAAGUCGAGGGGCAGCGGGGGUAGCAAUACCUGCCGGCGACCGGCAAACGGGUGCGGAACACGUACGCAACUUUCCCAAAACUGGUGAAUAGCCUUCCGAAAGGGAGAUUAAUACACCGUAAGAUGUAGGAGUGGCAUCACUCUUAUAUUAUAGCUCCGGCGGUUUUGGAUGGGCGUGCGGCUGAUUAGGUAGUUGGCGGGGUAACGGCCCACCAAGCCUGCGAUCAGUAACUGGUGUGAGAGCACGACCAGUCACACGGGCACUGAGACACGGGCCCGACUCCUACGGGAGGCAGCAGUAAGGAAUAUUGGUCAAUGGACGCAAGUCUGAACCAGCCAUGCCGCGUGCAGGAUGACGGCCCUCUGGGUUGUAAACUGCUUUUAUAGGGGACGAAAAAAGGGCUUUCUAGCUCGUCUGACGGUACCCUAGGAAUAAGCACCGGCUAACUCCGUGCCAGCAGCCGCGGUAAUACGGAGGGUGCAAGCGUUAUCCGGAUUUACUGGGUUUAAAGGGUGCGUAGGUGGGUCGGUAAGUCAGCGGUGAAAUCUUCGAGCUUAACUCGGAAACUGCCAUUGAUACUAUCGAUCUUGAAUCAUCUAGAGGUAAGCGGAAUAUGUCAUGUAGCGGUGAAAUGCUUAGAUAUGACAUAGAACACCAAUUGCGAAGGCAGCUUACUAUGGAUGUAUUGACACUGAGGCACGAAAGCGUGGGGAUCAAACAGGAUUAGAUACCCUGGUAGUCCACGCCCUAAACGAUGGAUACUCGACAUCAGCGAUACACUGUUGGUGUCUGAGCGAAAGCAUUAAGUAUCCCACCUGGGAAGUAC
rnacentral:rRNA from 1 species